UGGGGUUGGAUAGGUAGUGGUGGUCUGGAAGGAUGUUGCAGUGACAGGACCUGUGGAAGAGAUGGGAGUGGUCCCUGUAGGUGGGGAGUGUGUGGUGAAGGGUGUGGGUAGCCUGCUGCUGGUGGCCGACGUGGUGUGGGCCACAGGGGUUCUGGUGCCUGUACUGGUGUGGUUGGGGGUGAUGCUGGUGGUAGAAGUUGAGGUGACUUCAGGAUGGUGUGUGGAGGAAGUGUGUGAAUGUAGGGAUGUAGAGGUUUUGGCUGUGUUUAAUGAGCUCAGGGCUUGGCUGGUCCCGCUGGUGGUCAGCGUCAUUGUUGGCGCUGUGUGGGUGGACCCUGUGGCCUUGAGCGUUGUCGGUGGAGGAAUCGUGCCUGUUGGCAUUGAGUGGAUGGAGGCAGAAGUGGCCAUCUGUGCAUGGGUAGGGGUGAUGACUGUGUGAGUACUUGGAGUCACCAAAGAGGUGGAGAAAGGUGGAACGUGAGUGGGAAGUGUGGUCUGAGGGUGUGAUGGGGUUGGAUAGGUAGUGGUGGUCUUGAAGGAUGUUGCCGUCAUGGGACCUGUGGAAGAGAAGGGACUGCUCCCUGUAGGUGGGGAGUGUGUGGUGAAGGGUGGUGGUGGCCUGCUGCUGGUGGCUGAGGUGGU
rnacentral:lncRNA from 1 species